AAAAGCGGAGGAAAAGAAACCAACAGGGAUUGCCUCAGUAACGGCGAGUGAAGCGGCAAAAGCUCAAAUUUGAAAUCCCCCGGGAAUUGUAAUUUGAAGAGAUUUGGGUCCGGCCGGCRGGGGUUAAGUYCACUGGAAAGUGGCGCCACAGAGGGUGACAGCCCCGUGAACCCCUUYAACGCCCUCAUCCCAGRUCUCCAAGAGUCGAGUUGUUUGGGAAUGCAGCUCUAAGUGGGUGGUAAAUUCCAUCUAAAGCUAAAUACCGGCGAGAGACCGAUAGCGAACAAGUACAGUGAUGGAAAGAUGAAAAGCACUUUGAAAAGAGAGUGAAAAAGUACGUGAAAUUGUUGAAAGGGAAGGGCUUGCAAGCAGACACUUAACUGGGCCAGCAUCGGGGCGGCGGGGAAGCAAAAACCCACCGGGGAAUGUCCCUUUCGAGGAUAAUAACCCSGSCCUCAMUYCCAUWSCRCCCCGAGGCCUGCAAUCUAAGGAUGCGCGCAGAGGACGUAUACGCAUCG
rnacentral:rRNA from 1 species